rnacentral:rRNA from 1 species
AGAGAGAGACAUGCGCGCAUAUCAAUAAGCGGAGGAAAAGAAACUAACAAGGAUUCCCCUAGUAACGGCGAGUGAAGCGGGAAGAGCUCAAAUUUGAAAUCUUAAAGGGUUUCCCUUUACGAAUUGUAGUUUAAAGAAGUGUUUUCUGUUGAGGUUUUGGUAAAAGUUCUUUGGAAUAGGACAUCAUAGAGGGUGAGAAUCCCGUAUUUGACCUUUACUUUCAACUUUGUGAUACACUUUCAAAGAGUCGGAUUGUUUGGGAAUGCAGUCCAAGAUGGGUGGUAAAUUUCAUCUAAAGCUAAAUAUUGGCGAGAGACCGAUAGCGAACAAGUACCGUGAGGGAAAGAUGAAAAGAACUUUGAAAAGAGAGUUAAACAGUACGUGAAAUUGUCAAAAGGGAAGCGUUUGACACCAGUGUUGUUUUUCUGAAAAUCAAUUAAAGAACUGUUUAUGCUAAGUUGUUUAGACUUUAUCAGCUAACUGUUUAGUUUUGAGCUUUUCUUUAAUGCACUUUUCAGUUAACAAGUCAACAUCAAUUUCUUUUGCUGUAAAAAAGCUUGAGGAAGGUGGCUUGAGAUUCGUCUUAAGUGUUUAUAGCCUCUUGCCUAUGCAGUCGGAGAGAUUGAGGUCUGCAGCGUAGAUCCUUCGGGGCUAAAUGCAUUUGUGCUAAGUUAUAGCAUUCUAUAGACAACUUGUUGACUAUGAUUUGUCUUGUAGCUUACUCGCUUAUGCUAUUUUACCUACGCUUAGGAUGUUGAGCGCAUGUCUCUCUCU